ensembl:lncRNA
AGAGGAAUCAGAGGACACCCAUCUCCACGGGCCCAAGAUUGCUAAUUCUGACGUCCAAUCUGCCAUUUGAUACCAGCAGUGUGAGUUGUCAACACAAAUAAUAAAUUGACAGACAGGAGGAGGAGCUGGCUCACGUCUCUGGAGGAAGUUUCCAGACACCGAUUGCUGCAUGAAUUUGCAUCAAGACUGAACAGCAGGAGACGAUUCCCCCAAGCUCCUGGUCACUGGACUCAGGCAGGGGACAGACUCCUUGACUGGUCUUUCUGAGGCCCUUGAGUGCAAUCCUCGUGGCAGUACCUGCGGGGAAGACGCUGAGGCUGUGGUGAAGGAAGACUGCAGGAUAAAGGAGAGCUGCCGGAUGUGCUGGCCGCCCUGUUAGGGGCUGUGUUCUCCUCAUGCGUACAGGUCCCUCCCUGUUGGGGAGGUUGACCGGGCUCACACAGACGCUGAAAAUGGACCCUGCUCAGGUGGGAACAGGAGAAGGAAGUGGCAACGCCCUCCAGGAUUCUUGCCUGGAGAACGCCAUGGACAGAGGAGCCGGUGGGCUGCAGUCCAUGGGGUCGCACAGAGUCGGACAUGACUGAAGCGACUUAGCGGCAGCAGCAGCAGCGGGUGAGAACAGAACAGGCUGGUCCUUUCACCUCCGGGCCAGAAGGAACUGCUCUCAAAUCUGAGGACCCGCCUCCUCCGCCGGCGCCCCCUCCUCUGGUCCUGCUGGUCUGAGCGCGGGCACAGCCCCUCUGAGGUCUUGGGUCUGAACUAGGGUUUCUCAGAGUCGGUGGCGGCUGCCUGGGCGCAGCUGAGGCUGCUCACAGGAUGGCUACUGAAGAACGUAAUGGGAUAUUAAUGUUUAUGCUAGAAAUGGCCCAUUUACUCACACUUCAGAAUUAAAGAAUGCCAGAAUAUAAGACAAAAGGAGAACUGUUUUAUGGGGACUUGGACUUGAAUAACCAGGCACUUGUCUAGGUUUUGAAGUAGUUACACCAGUGGCCAAGUGAAUUCGAGAGCUUGAGUUAAGUGGGUGUGGAGGGGGUUUCCCUUUGCAGAUUAUCAAAGUCCUGGGCAUGCAAUUUGGUUUCUAGGAAAUGGAUUUGGUGCCUGCGUUACC